GUGCCGAGCUAUUGCUCGAUGACGGAACACAAAUGCGUGAUCGUCGGAAUAGUAUUUUUGUAGGCGAAUUGGUUGAGGUCGGGCGUACACGGAGUUGAGGCAUAGUCAACAGCAUAGCUUCCGCGGUUGCCUUUGAGUUAGGUUGUCCUUAUUUACCUUUCUAUUAGAAUUGCUCUGAUUACCUAUGGGAUUUAUGUUUUUCAAGUUGAGGUUUGUGUUUUGUGAAGUGGAGAUUGAUGUUGAGUUGGGGAGCAGGGUGGCUCCAGAAGUAUAAGGAUGAUUUGAUUUAGAAGUGUAAAUGCUUUCUACAGGUUUUGGGUAGCCCAUUUUAGGGGAAGUUCCGCCAAAUUUUUGGUAGAAUUUCUUCUAAGGUGGGCCCCGCAGGGCCACUUCGGAUUUCAGGGUGAAAUCUGGGGCGGGUCUU
rnacentral:lncRNA from 1 species